CGAGGGCCAGAAAACCACGGCCGGCCAAAUGCCUUAAAGGGGUAACCCGUCGCGCGCGUUUUCUGCAGGAAAGAGUCCGCCCAAGUUUGGUGGGUGUGGGCUGUUGUCUUGCGCAUGCAGGAACAGGCUGCUGUGUCGCUCUCUUGCUCAUAGCUGGAGCAUGCGGCGCUCCCCAUUGUCCCUGGCAUGCCGAUACAGGAGAGGGGGGAGACACAGAUGCAGACAGCCCAGAGGGACGUACUGUCCCCUCCGUGAGCCCGGCCCCCUGGGGUCCACUGCAGACUCUGAACCAGCAGAAGCAAAGCCCUCUGCUCGGGGUCCAGGAGUUGCUGCCCAGGGAUCCUGGUUCCAAAUGACCUCUGGCUCCAUCUUGGAACGUCAUGCCAGAUUCUCUUCAGCUCGUCGCCACUCUGUAAUCGCAGCACUUGUGGAGGCUCAGGAGGAGCGAAAUCUUGAGCACAGCCGGGGCAAAUUAACCACUGUGAGACCCUGUCGCAAAAGAACUGCAUUAUGAAGUUCUGUGGAUGGAGUUCAAGGAGGAGAGGCUCUGGUUCAAUUCAGAACAGUGGGGAGGGGAAUAACUUUACUUUCACAAUAUUAACAGCAGUCACUUGAUUCUGGAGACUUCUCUUUCCUGGGGUCCACCCUGCCCUCCUCUUCUGGGAAAGGAACACUCUGAGAGGUGGGCACAGGGGCAUGAGGAGGACUGGGAGCCAGGCCUUCUGCACCCUCUCUCUCCGCUGCCCCACUUCUGCUAUGUGUGUCAAAUCUUAAGACCUUGGAAGUCUCCCUAGCCUGUGCACUCCCACAGCUCCAACCCAGGGUUGUGGGGAGAACAACCCACAGUCUUAUAUUUCCAAUGAAAAGUAGCAAUGCCAGGACCCUGGGUACAUAAAGGCAGGAGCAUUUGAUUUUGAGACACAUCUCACUUUUCUUUUUUUUUUUUUGUACCAAGAAUCAAACUCAGGACCUUGUGCUUGCCAGGCAGGCACUUAUGCUACUGAGCUAAAUCCCCAACAAGGAGGGCAUUUGAAAGGGAGACACCCCUGGAGUUUGAGGUGUGCAGUUGCCUUGCUACAGGAGCAACAAGAUGGGCAGUGGUGUCGAGCCACACACACACACACACACACACACACACACACUCACAGAGUUCUAUAUAGAUCUCUGUGCCCGGAGGCUUGAUACCUUGGGGCCAGGUGCCCUGGAGCUUGAGGCAGGAACCUCAGAAAAGAGAGGGAGCCAGCACCAGAUAAAGGAUACAGCAUCUCUACUUCUGCACCUAGGUGCCUAGACCAGAAACAGAACCCACCAGGGCAAACCUCUACUGCCUCCCAGAUGCUAUUCAGACUCAUUGGCUUCUCCAUUCCUUCCCCAAGACCCACCUCCAUCCUGACCUUUCCAAACCUGACCAGACAGAAUGUCUAAAGAUCCAGUUCUUUUUUUUUUUUUUUUUCUUCGUUUUUAUCGGUACCAGGGAUCGAACUCACAACUGCCUGCAAGGCAAGCGCUUAUGCCGCUGAGCUAAGUCCCCAGCCCCUAAAGAUCCAGUUCUAAAACCAGGUGUGGUGGUACAUCCCUGUAAUCCCAGCACUUAGAAGGCUGAGACAGGAGGAACCUUUUGAGUUAAAGACUGACCUGGGCUACAAAGUGAGCUCAAGUUCAGCCUGAACUGCAUACCAAGACCCUGUUUCAAAAAGACAACAUAAAAUAAAAUAAAGAUCUGGGCAGAGAUUUAGCUGAGUGGCAUAAGCACCUGCCUGGCAAGCACCAGGCCAUGAGUUCAAUCCCUAGUGCCUAAAUAAAUAAAUAAAUAAAUAUUCCGGUCUGACUUGCCA